rnacentral:rRNA from 1 species
ACGCUCGACACCUACGGGAGGCAGCAGUGGGGGAUAUUGCACAAUGGGGGAAACCCUGAUGCAGCGACGCCGCGUGAAGGAAGAAGGCCUUCGGUUGGUAAACUUCUGUCGUACGGGACGAUAGUGACGGUACCGUACAAGAAAGCCACGGCUAACUACGUGCCAACAGCCGCGGUAAUCUGAGCGGGCUGGCAAGGGC